AGCAGUAGCCGCGGUAAUACGGAGGAGGCAAGCGUUAUCCGGAAUUAUUGGGCGUAAAGGGUACGUAGGUGGCCUUUUAAGCGUAGGGUAUAAGGCAAUGGCUCAACCAUUGUUCGCCCUAUGAACUGGAAGGCUUGAGUGCAGGAGAGGAAAGCGGAAUUCCUAGUGUAGCGGUGGAAUGCAUAGAUAUCAGGAGGAACAUCAGCGGCGAAGGCGGCUUUCUGGACUGCAACUGACACUGAGGUACGAAAGCGUGGGGAGCAAACAGGAUUAGAUACCCCCGUAGUCCCUGUCUCUUAUACA
rnacentral:rRNA from 1 species